rfam:Schistosoma haematobium scaffold2434_2, whole genome shotgun sequence.
AUCCAGAUGAUAAAUCCCAAAUAGGAUGAAAAGUGCGUCCUGGAU